rnacentral:rRNA from 1 species
CCUACGGGGGGCUGCAGUGGGGAAUAUUGGACAAUGGGGGGAACCCUGAUCCAGCCAUGCCGCGUGUGUGAAGAAGGCCCUCGGGUUGUAAAGCACUUUCAGUGAGGAAGAACGCCUGGUGGUUAAUACCCAUCAGGAAAGACAUCACUCACAGAAGAAGCACCGGCUAACUCCGUGCCAGCAGCCGCGGUAAUACGGAGGGUGCGAGCGUUAAUCGGAAUUACUGGGCGUAAAGCGCGCGUAGGUGGCUUGAUAAGCCGGUUGUGAAAGCCCCGGGCUCAACCUGGGAACGGCAUCCGGAACUGUCAAGCUAGGGUGCAGGAGAGGAAGGUAGAAUUCCCGGUGUAGCGGUGAAAUGCGUAGAGAUCGGGAAGAAUACCAGUGGCGAAGGCGGCCUUCUGGACUGACACUGACACUGAGGUGCGAAAGCGUGGGUAGCAAACAGGAUUAGAUACCCUGGUAGUC